GACAGAGGAUGCAAGCGUUAUCCGGAAUGAUUGGGCGUAAAGCGUCUGUAGGUGGCUUUUCAAGUCCGCCGUCAAAUCCCAGGGCUCAACCCCGGACUUGCAGUGGGUACGGGCAGACUGGAGUGUGGUAGGGGAGACUGGAAUUCCUGGUGUAGCGGUGGAAUGCGCAGAUAUCAGGAGGAACACCGAUGGCGAAGGCAGGUCUCUGGGCCACUACUGACGCUGAGAAGCGAAAGCAUGGGGAGCGAACAGG
rnacentral:rRNA from 1 species